GUGAGGAAUAUUGGUCAAUGGGCGGGAGCCUGAACCAGCCAAGUCGCGUGAAGGAAGAAGGAUCUAUGGUUCGUAAACUUCUUUUGCAGGGGAAUAAAGUGCAGGACGUGUCCUGUUUUGUAUGUACCCUGAGAAUAAGGAUCGGCUAACUCCGUGCCAGCAGCCGCGGUAAUACGGAGGAUCCGAGCGUUAUCCGGAUUUAUUGGGUUUAAAGGGUGCGUAGGUGGUUUGAUAAGUCAGCGGUGAAAGUUUGCAGCUUAACUGUAAAAAUACCGUUGAAACUGUCGGACUUGAGUGUAAAUGAGGUAGGCGGAAUGCGUGGUGUAGCGGUGAAAUGCAUAGAUAUCACGCAGAACUCCGAUUGCGAAGGCAGCUUACUAAGCUACAACUGACACUGAAGCACGAAAGCGUGGGGAUCAAACAGGAUUAGAAACCCCUGUAGUCC
rnacentral:rRNA from 1 species